UACGUAGGGUGCAAGCGUUAAUCGGAAUUACUGGGCGUAAAGCGUGCGCAGGCGGUUUUGUAAGUCUGUCGUGAAAUCCCCGGGCUCAACCUGGGAACUGCAUCUGUGACUGCAUAGCUAGAGUACGGUAGAGGGGGAUGGAAUUCCGCGUGUAGCAGUGAAAUGCGUAGAUAUGCGGAGGAACACCGAUGGCGGAAGGCAAUCCCCUGGACCUGUACUGACGCUCAUGCACGAAAGGCGUGGGAGCAAACAGG
rnacentral:rRNA from 1 species